rnacentral:rRNA from 1 species
CUUUUUGAAGCUAUAAAAAGUCUAACCUGCCCACUGAUUAUAAUAAUUUAAGGGCCGCGGUAUUAUGACCGUGCAAAGGUAGCAUAAUCAUUAGGUUUUUAAAUGAGAUCUUGUAUGAACGGUUGGACAAAGGAAAAGCUGUCUUUAUUUUAAAGUUUGAAUUUUACUUUUGAGUGAGAAGGCUUAAAUAAUUUAGAGGGACGAUAAGACCCUAUAAAGCUUUACAUUAAAAUUAUAUUUGAUUGAAUUUUAAAAUUAAAGUUUAAUAUAAUUGUUUGUUUUAUUGGGGAGAUAAAAGUAUAAAUUAUAUUAACUGCUAAAAAUAUAAACAUAUAUGAGUGGAAUAAUAAAAGAUCCUAAAUUUGAAGAGUGAAAGACUAAGUUACUUUAGGGAUAACAGUGUAAUUUUUUUUGAGAGUUCAUAUCGAAAAAGAAGUUUGCAACCUCGAUGUUGAAUUAAAAUAUCUAUAUAAUGUAGCUGUUAUAUAAGAGGGUCUGUUCGACCUUU